rnacentral:sRNA from 17 species
AGCACUGAAACGCUGAAUCUUAUUGAGCGGGGGAACCAACUUUUGACUGCAUGCUGCAGUCUUGGGGUGAAGCCAUGAAUGGCAGGGAGACUCUUACCUUCCUAAUCCGACAGCUAACUCCGUAAGCGUUGUUUAAGAGAGUG